rnacentral:rRNA from 1 species
GACGAACGCUGGCGGCGUGCCUAAUACAUGCAAGUCGAGCGGACUGAUUAAGAGCUUGCUCUUAUGACGUUAGCGGCGGACGGGUGAGUAACACGUGGGCAACCUGCCCUGUAGAUCGGGAUAACACCGAGAAAUCGGUGCUAAUACCGGGUAAUAUCUGAGAUCACAUGAUCUUAGGUUAAAAGAUGGCUCCGGCUAUCACUACAGGAUGUGCCCGCGGCGCAUUAGCUAGUUGGUAAGGUAAUGGCUUACCAAGGCGACGAUGCGUAGCCGACCUGGGAGGGUGAGCGGCCACGCUGGGACUGAGACACGGCCCAGACGCCUACGGGAGGCAGCAGUAGGGAAUCUUCCGCAAUGGACGGAAGUAUGAUGGAGCAACGCCGCGUGAGUGAUGAAGGGUUGCGGCUCGUAAAGCUCUGUUGUUAGGGAAGAAACAGUACCGAACGAACUAGGUCGGUACCUUGACGGUACCUAACCAGAAAGCCACGGCUAACUACGUG